CCCGAGACUAGAGUCACAUCUAGAUAUGGACUGUUAUCAUGAUGUGCUAUUGUACUCGGAGAAUAAUAACUGACUUAACUGACUGAGGUGUUAAGUAGCACAUCAGUUACCAAGUUAGUGACAGAU